rnacentral:ncRNA from 1 species
CGAGGCGCCGUCAACGAGUCGGGUUGUUUGGGAAUGCAGCCCAAAUCGGGCGGUAGACUCCGUCCAAGGCUAAAUACAGGUGAGAGACCGAUAGCGAACAAGUACCGCGAGGGAAAGAUGAAAAGGACUUUGAAAAGAGAGUCAAAGAGUGCUUGAAAUUGCCGGGAGGGAAGCGGAUGGGGGCCGGCGAUGCGCCCCGACCGUAUGCGGAACGGCUCUUGCUGGUCCGCCGCUCGGCUCGGGGUGUGGACUGUUGUCGGCCGCGCCGGCGGCCAAAGCCCGGGGGCCCUAGGUGCCCCCGGUGGCCGUCGUCGGCACGACCGGUAGCCGCGCGCCGAAAGGCGUGUCCCUUGGGGCACUGCGCUGCAACGGCCUGCGGGCUCCCCAUCCGACCCGUCUUGAAACACGGACCAAGGAGUCUGACAUGCGUGCGAGUCGACGGGUUCUGAAACCUGGGAUGCGCAAGGAAGCUGACGAGCGGGAGGCCCUCACGGGCCACACCGCUGGCCGACCCUGUCUUCUGUGAAGGGUUCGAGUUGGAGCACGCCUGUCGGGACCCGAAAGAUGGUGAACUAUGCCUGAGCGGGGCGAAGCCAGAGGAAACUCUGGUGGAGGCUCGAAGCGAUACUGUCACACCCUAGCUAUCAUGCAUUAGAGUGUUGCAUCAUGUUUACUCUUUCAUCAGAAACUUGAAAUGGGGAUGACAGAACCCCCAGUCCCCUCUGAAACCAACUAGGGUUACUAAAAUAAUUUUUCAAUGAACCUGAAAUGCCCUUCUAAAAUGCCCAUCAUUUUUGUCUUGGUUCAGAACCUCUGCCAAAAGUGGUGCACAUUUUCCUAGGC